rnacentral:rRNA from 1 species
CGGGCGUCUUAACAUGCAAGUAGGACGCACAGUUUAUACCGUAGCUUGCUACACCAUAGACUGUGAGUUGCGAACGGGUGAGUAACGCGUAGGUAACCUACCUAUUAGAGGGGGAUAACUAUUGGAAACGAUAGCUAAUACCGCAUAACAGUAUGUAACACAUGUUAGAUGCUUGAAAGAUGCAAUUGCAUCGCUAGUAGAUGGACCUGCGUUGUAUUAGCUAGUAGGUAGGGUAAAGGCCUACCUAGGCAACGAUACAUAGCCGACCUGAGAGGGUGAUCGGCCACACUGGGACUGAGACACGGCCCAGACUCCUACGGAGGCAGCAGUAGGGAAUCUUCGGCAAUGGGGGGAACCCUGACCGAGCAACGCCGCGUGAGUGAAGAAGGUUUUCGGAUCGUAAAGCUCUGUUGUUAAGGAAGAACGAGUGUGAGA